GGCCAUGGGACCAUCUUAUGUCUUCCUCCACUGUCUCCCAGGUGACAUGUGCUCUGUGUGAGAUGCUGUCAGUGUCCCUGUGCCAGGAGGCUAUCCAGGAGUUCUAUCCCCAGCUCUUACUGGCUAUACUAUGUCAUCUCUACUGGGUGAUUGAGCAAAAUGUCCCCCAGAAGAUGGUGGUCUAUAGCAAGGAGAGGGGCCCAGGCAGCAAGAGCAAGCCCUUUGACCCCACUAGUUGUGCCCUGGAGGUAGUGAAGUUGCUGUUCUUGGCUGCUGCAUAUGACGGAGUGGUGGUCUAUGCAAAUCAGCAUCACUGCUCGGACCUUCUGUCCUGUCCCAAGUUUUACUACAUAGGGAUCAUGGACCUGACAAGUGACAUUGUGAAGAACUGUGAACCUGCCAUCCUGCACCGAAUCCUCCACCUUGUCAGGAACUUCCUCUAG
rnacentral:lncRNA from 1 species